CCUACGGGAGGCAGCAGUGGGGGAAUCUUGCGCAAUGGGCGAAAGCCUGACGCAGCCAUGCCGCGUGAAUGAUGAAGGUCUUAGGAUUGUAAAAUUCUUUCACCGGGGGACGAUAAUGACGGUACCCGGAGAAGAAGCCCCGGCUAACUUCGUGCCAGCAGCCGCGGUAAUACGAAGGGGGGCUAGCGUUGCUCGGAAUUACUGGGCGUAAAGGGAGCGUAGGCGGAUAGUUUAGUCAGAGGUGAAAGCCCAGGGCUCAACCUUGGAAUUGCCUUUGAUACUGGCUAUCUUGAGUAUGGGAGAGGUUAGCGGAACUCCGAGUGUAGAGGUGAAAUUCGUAGAUAUUCGGAAGAACACCAGUGGCGAAGGCGGCUAACUGGCCCAUUACUGACGCUGAGGCUCGAAAGCGUGGGGAGCAAACAGGAUUAGAUACCCUGGUAGUCCACGCCGUAAACGAUGAGUGCUAGUUGUCGGCAUGCAUGCAUGUCGGUGACGCAGCUAACGCAUUAAGCACUCCGCCUGGGGGAGGACGGUCGCAGAUAAACUACAAANAGAGUAGAGCGNGAGACGUGCCGAGACGACGACGAGGGAGAGG
rnacentral:rRNA from 1 species